AACAUUACUGGGAUCAUUAUUGCUGCGGAGCUCUAUUACACACUUAGCCACAACUGGAACUCCUAGAAAGGAGGGACGUUAGGAGUGAAAAGAGGGACAGAGGAAUUUGUGACUAUGAUAGGGACUGUCCCUCCUAAAUAGGGACACUUGGGAGGUAUGCUUUCAAGAUGGUUGUUGAUGGAUGCACAUGCAUCUGCUAGUUUCCAUUUCAGC